rnacentral:lncRNA from 1 species
CAAGAAGUCACUGCUUAACCUAUGUACGGAAUAGAGAAGGACCAGGACAGACAGACGCACAAGGUGGAGAAUGUGUCUGGGCCCUGACAAACAGAGGAGUGGGUGCCUUUCCUGCAAGACUAAAUGGCUAAAACUAAAAACGUUAGCACAAAAAGAGAGACCUAUGCAGGCCACUUGGCAAGUUCCGGGGAGAAUGUCUGGAGUCCCUUUUCACAAGAAGCCUGUCUAGUGCCAUUCAGUUGCACGGCACAGAAAGUGGUGGCCAGUGAUGCUGGUGAGGACUUCAGGGAUCGUGCUCUUCACCAAGCAACAGGUACCAUCUCCUUAAACCCCAAGUUAACUGACCA